AACCUCAUGGAUCAGUUGGUAGAGUACACGCGGUACUAAGGCGAGAGUGGCAUUCAUGCUUGGGUUCGAAUCCCACUGAGGUUA
rnacentral:tRNA from 1 species